GGGCUCUUGGCUCAGUGGUAGAGCGUCCCGUUUGCAACGGGAAGGUCGCGGGUCCAAUUCCCGCAGAGUCCA
rnacentral:tRNA from 1 species